rnacentral:rRNA from 1 species
GAUGAACGCUGGCGGCGUGCCUAAUACAUGCAAGUCGAGCGAACAGACGAGGAGCUUGCUCCUCUGACGUUAGCGGCGGACGGGUGAGUAACACGUGGAUAACCUACCUAUAAGACUGGGAUAACUUCGGGAAACCGGAGCUAAUACCGGAUAAUAUAUUGAACCGCAUGGUUCAAUAGUGAAAGACGGUUUUGCUGUCACUUAUAGAUGGAUCCGCGCCGCAUUAGCUAGUUGGUAAGGUAACGGCUUACCAAGGCAACGAUGCGUAGCCGACCUGAGAGGGUGAUCGGCCACACUGGAACUGAGACACGGUCCAGACGCCUACGGGAGGCAGCAGUAGGGAAUCUUCCGCAAUGGGCGAAAGCCUGACGGAGCAACGCCGCGUGAGUGAUGAAGGUCUUCGGAUCGUAAAACUCUGUUAUUAGGGAAGAACAAAUGUGUAAGUAACUAUGCACGUCUUGACGGUACCGAAUCAGAAAGCCACGGCUAACUACGU